rnacentral:rRNA from 1 species
GACGAACGCUGGCGGCGUGCUUAACACAUGCAAGUCGAACGGUGAACGAGGGAGCUUGCUCCCCCCGGGUUAGUGGCGAACGGGUGAGUAACACGUGAGCAACCUGCCCCUAACUCUGGGAUAAGCGCUGGAAACGACGUCUAAUACCGGAUACGACGCUGGAGGGCAUCCUCUCCGCGUGGAAAGAACUUCGGCUCGGGAUAAGCUCGCGGCCUAUCCGCUUGUUGGUGAGGUAACGGCUCACCAAGGCCACGACGGGUAGUCGGCCUGCGAGGGUGACCGGCCACACUGGGACUGAGAGACGGCGCAGACUCCUACGGGAGGCAGCAGUGGGGAAUAUUGCACAAUGGGCGCGAGCCUGAUGCAGCAACGCCGCGUGAGGGACGACGGCCUUCGGGUUGUAAACCUCUUUGAGCAGGGAAGAAGCGAAAGUGACGGUACCUGAAGAGAAAGCACCGGCUAACUACGUG